ACACUUACGAGCGGACCCCACGUGUCAUCCACCCUGCUCAACUCUCUCCCUCUCUCACUGACGAGCAGACCCCACUCGUCGACAUCUUCUUCCUCCCAGCGGUACACUAACGAGCGGAUCUCACGCGCGCGCCGUCGGCAGCGGAGCUCGCGCUCCCGCACCCGCUCGCGGCCCCCCUCUCUCCUCCUCCCACCGGGGGAGCAGGUGGACCUUGGGGGCCAAAGGUGGGUGUUGCCUCCUAAAUUAUCGUCCAUGCGGACAGUAGAAGCACUCCGUUGGGUGCCUAACGGGUGCAAGUGUAAACUUCCACAUGUUAGGGGCUGUUUGGAUGCCUGCCUAACACGCCGCGCCACGCCACACAUUUCGCGCCACAGGUGUGGCGGCCAAAUCGGCCGCCGCACCUUAGACGCGGUGUGGCGCCUAAGGCAGGCAUCCAAACAGCCCCUUAGUAUUGCAGGUGUGGGUGUAGCUAAGGUAUGUUAGAGUUUUAUCGUGAGUAGAUUUUGCUCUAUCCGCAUCUGAGAGCAACUCCAGCAGACCCUCUAAGCAGAUCCUUAUCUUAAGUUUAGGGGGCUAAGUAAAAAAGAUGAACUGCAGCAGAUCCUCUAUUGGACCCUCUAUUUUGAGAAGGUAUCCAAAUUCUCUC